rnacentral:rRNA from 1 species
CUCCGGUUGAUCCUGCCGGACCUGACUGCUAUCGGAUUGGUACUAAGCCAUGCGAGUCGUUGUAGCAAUACAAGGCGGACGGCUCAGUAACACGUAGUCAACCUAACCUAUGGACGUGGAUAACCUCGGGAAACUGAGAAUAAACCGCGAUAGAUCAUUAUGCCUGGAAUGGCUUAUGGUUCAAACAAUUUAUUGCCGUAGGAUGGGACUGCGGCCUAUCAGCUUGUUGGUGAGGUAAUGGCCCACCAAGGCUAUAACAGGUACGGGCUCUGAGAGGAGAAGCCCGGAGAUGGGUACUGAGACACGGACCCAGGCCCUAUGGGGCGCAGCAGGCGAGAAACCUUAGCAAUGUGCGAAAGCACGACUAGGUUAAUCCGAGUGAUUUCUGUUGAAGAAAUCUUUUGUCAGUCGUAAAACCACAGACGAAUAAGGGGUGGGCAAGUCUGGUGUCAGCCGCCGCGGUAAUACCAGCACCUCGAGUGGUCAGGAGGUUUAUUGGGCCUAAAGCAUCCGUAGCCGGCUACGCAAGUCUCCGGUUAAAUCCAGCUGCUCAACAGAUGGGCUGCCGGAGAUACUACAUAGCUAGGGAGCGGGAGAGGUAGACGGUAUUCUGUGGGUAGGGGUAAAAUCCACUGAUCCAUAGAGGACCACCAGUGGCGAAGGCGGUCUACCAGAACGCGUUCGACGGUGAGGGAUGAAAGCUGGGGGAGCAAACCGGAUUAGAUACCCGGGUAGUCCCAGCUGUAAACGAUGCAAACUCGGUGAUGCAUUGGCUUAUGGCCAAUGCAGUGCCGCAGGGAAGCCGUUAAGUUUGCCGCCUGGGAAGUACGGACGCAAGUCUGAAACUUAAAGGAAUGGGCGGGGGAGCA